AUUGAACGCUGGCGGCAGGCCUAACACAUGCAAGUCGAGCGAGCGGCGGACGGGUGAGUAAUGUAUGGGGACUGCCCGCUAGAGGGGGAUAACUACUGGAAACGGUGGCUAAUACCGCCUCCUGUCGGCUAACCCCUAUGGGAUUAGCUAGUAGGUACGGUUAUGGCUUACCUAGGCGACGAGCCCUAGCUGGUCUGAGAGGAUGAUCAGCACCAAUGGGACGUAGACACGGCCCAGACGCCUACGGAGGCAGCAGUGGGGAAUAUUGCGCAAUGGGCGAAAGCCUGAUGCAGCAAUGCCGCGUGUAUGAAGAAGGCCCUAGGGUUGUAAAGUACGUUCAGUCGAGAGGCGUUACCGACAGAAGAAGCACCGGCUAACUCCGUGCCAGCAGCCGCGGUAAUUC
rnacentral:rRNA from 1 species